UCUCCAGUCUCUCUCCAGCUGCUGUCUCUCUCCAGUCUCUCUCCAGUCUCUCUCCAGUCUCUCUCCAGUCUCUCUCCAGUCUCUCUCCAGUCUCUCUCCAGCUGCUGUCUCUCUCCAGUCUCUCUCCAGUCUCUCUCCAGUCUCUCUCCAGUCUCUCUCCAGUCUCUCUCCAGCUGCUGUCUCUCUCCAGUCUCUCUCCAGUCUCUCUCCAGUCUCUCUCCAGUCUCUCUCCAGUCUCUCUCCAGCUGCUGUCUCUCUCCAGUCUCUCUCCAGUCUCUCUCCAGUCUCUCUCCAGCUGCUGUCUCUCUCCAGUCUCUCUCCAGUCUCUCUCCAGUCUCUCUCCAGUCUCUCUCCAGCUGCUGUCUCUCUCCAGUCUCUCUCCAGUCUCUCUCCAGUCUCUCUCCAGACUCUCUCCAGUCUCUCUCCAGACUCUCUCCAGUCUCUCUCCAGUCUCUCUCAUGUCUCUCCAGUCUCUCUCCAGUCUCUCUCCAGACUCUCUCCAGUCUCUCUCCAGUCUCUCUUCAGUCUCUCUCCAGUCUCUCUCCAGUCUCUCUCCAGUCUCUCUUCAGUCUCUCUCUAGUCUCUCCAGUCUCUCUCCAGUCUCUCUCCAGUCUCUCUCCAGUCUCUCUCCAGUCUCUCUCCAGCUGCUGUCUCUCUCCAGUCUCUCUCCAGUCUCUCUCCAGUCUCUCUCCAGUCUCUCUCCAGUCUCUCUUCAGUCUCUCUCCAGUCUCUCUCCAGUCUCUCUCCAGUCUCUCUUCAGUCUCUCUCUAGUCUCUCCAGUCUCUCUCCAGUCUCUCUCCAGUCUCUCUUCAGUCUCUCUCCAGUCUCUCUCCAGUCUCUCUCCAGUCUCUCUUCAGUCUCUCUCCAGUCUCUCUCCAGUCUCUCUCCAGUCUCUCUCUAGUCUCUCCAGUCUCUCUCCAGUCUCUCUUCAGUCUCUCUCCAGUCUCUCUCUAGUCUCUCCAGUCUCUCUCCAGUCUCUCUCCAGUCUCUCUCCAGUCUCUCCAUCUCUCCAGUCUCUCUCCAGUCUCUCUCCAGUCUCUCUUCAGUCUCUCUCCAGUAUCUCUCCAGUCUCUCUCCAGUCUCUCUCCAGUCUCUCUCCAGUCUCUCUUCAGUCUCUCUCCAGUCUCUCUCCAGUCUCUCUCCAGUCUCUCUCCAGUCUCUCUUCAGUCUCUCUCCAGUCUCUCUCCAGUCUCUCUCCAGUCUUUCUCCAGUCUCUCUCCAGUCUCUCUCUAGUCUCUCCAGUCUCUCUCCAGUCUCUCUUCAGUCUCUCUCCAGUCUCUCCUCAGUCUCUCUCCAGUCUCUCUUCAGUCUCUCUGUCUUUCUGUCUCUCCUC
rnacentral:lncRNA from 1 species